rnacentral:lncRNA from 1 species
GCUUCCCUUUUCUUUCGCAAACGACGCCAUUUUAUUUCUCCCCCCAUUCCCUUUUCUUUUGCAAACGGUACCGUUUUAUUUCUCUCCCCCCGAAUCCCUUUUCUUUCCCGAUACCCUUUUCUUUCUCAGCCUAUUCUUUGCUUGACUAAAAUUAAAAACCUGUUCUUCUAUUUUAUACCCGAAAAUCCUCUCUACCUGUUGUUCUAUUUUAUUUCUCAGUCUGUUCUUUGAUUUCUCGAAACCUAAACACCCACUGUGCCCCCUUUCCUCAGAGGCUGUAACCGAGCAACUGUUUACCUAGUUUCCCGACGCCUAGCCACUUUACCCAGCAGCGAACUUAGUCUUAGCAAGUAUGUGAGGUUUUUGAUGUUUUUUUGUUUGGGUUUGGUAAAAUUUACUUUAGUUUUCAAUCGUGUUAAAAUUUUAGAAAUUUUAAUUUGGGUAGUUCAAAUGUGCUUUAUUCAUUAACUGACCUAGAAUUCGGAUUUUGGAUUUAGAUUAAUAAAUUACAUGCCAUUAAGAUCGAUGGGUUACGUGAAGAAAUCCAUUCAGAGGGAUUUGGACAAUUGCAAUGCUAAGUUUUAAAUGAUUGAUAGAUUUUUGUUUCUUUUCUUUUAAGGAUGAUAAAUUUUUUUUAAAAUUUUUGUAGUUGUCAGGAUUUUUUGUAAGACUUUAUUAUCAAAAUGUAAGACCUCAAAGCGAGGAAAGCUCUCUCCGACUAUUUUUUUUGUUCACAAAAUUUGAACUCAGAGACUUUACUAAUCAGUAGGGACUUAACCUUGUUAGAGAAAAGUUAAAUUCAUGAGACCUUCGGGUUAAAGAUUACCUAAAUUCUCAGCUUGAGUUAGUGGCAACUUUAUAGUGAAUGAGAGCAGAUCUGUGGUGUUUCAAAUCUGGGGUACACUUUACACCAUUUAGAACUAUCUCAAAUUUGGAGUCAUUGCCAUUGGGUUGAAUUUGAUGAAACAUCUAUAGGCAAUAAUACAAUUAAUCACAGUGGCAUUCCAGGGUAUGAUUGUUUUUUUUAUUGAAGCAUAUAAAAGAACAUAUAUGUUGCAUUUUCUGCUUACAUAGUUCUUCCUUCCAGCUCUGAAUUGUAUGGACUUGAGCCUGCCCUGAUGGCCUUGCUUGGACUGCCCACAAUGGGACAAAAGAAGUAUUUGAUAGCAUGAAUAGUAUUUGUUAGCAAUAAAAUAAACUAAUGUAAUUAUUAGAAUAGUAAUUAUAUUUUUUAUACUUGUUUUUGUUAUUCUUUAAAAAAAAUUAGUAAUUUAUUAAUCCUUUGCUAAACAAAUUUUUUCUUUAAUGCAGUUGCGAAGAUGGUUGCACACAAAUUCACUGUUGAUUUGAAUAAACCUCUUGUCUUCCAGGUACGAGUAAGAUCAUAUGUUUGAAUUUGGUUUAUCUUAUGGAACAAGCAUAUGUGGUGACAGUUUUGGUGUUACUGGUUUUCAGUUCACUUAUUUAGUUUCUUAUGUGAUUAAAAUAGCUACAUAUAGUCAUGUUAUGUGAUUACAUUGGCAAGUUCUUGAUAUAGAGCACGAUUUUGCAGGGCAGUUACUAAGCUCCAAAUAUUCUAUUUCUUUCUCUUUUUUGGUCAGACUGAAUUAAGCAGGCCAAAGUGUGUAAAGGUAAUAGCAGUGAAUUUCACCCUUAUUUUUAUAACUGCUGCUUUCUCUUCACUUGUACUUAUUAUUUAUUUUCUCCUUUGAUGAAAUGUUGCCAGCCUCUUGAGUAGUUGUGUUAGAUUGUUGUUUAGGAAAUUUGUUAGCAUUUGAGGAAGCUUCACGAAUUUUUGUUUCCUAUUUGCAAGCUGGUUUAGGUAAAUAUUUGCUAGCACUUGGUGUGUGUAUCUACUGUACUGGGUUUAUGAAUGUUAAUUUGUUUUCUUGCAGGGUUUUGGUUUGGGGAAACAUUUAAGUUUGGGUUUGGAGAUACGUAGUUAUCAGCAUUAGUUGGCAGAUAACAUUGGCAGAUAACAUUGUCCAAGUGCAGGUUGCAGCUCUUUGCCAAGGUGCGCUAUCCUUUUUAAUAUCUGGUACAGACUAGAAUUAAUGGUUGUUUUUAUUCCUGUUUUCUUUAGUCUUUGACCACUAUCACAUAAAGAGCUUGAUAUUGAAAAACAGAAGCAUAAUGCUUGGUAUAUAUUUUCCAGAUAUUGUAGAAUUAACACGAAAACACAAAUCGCAUAUUUUUAUAAAACAAAAAAUAAAGGGGUCACAAUCCUUCUUAUCCACUCUCCAACAUUCGCUUUUUGCAGUAGUAAAUAUAUUAAAAAAAUUAUGUCCAAAAUGUAAAUAAAAUAAUGAUAGAAGCAAGCAAUCUCAUCUGCAGAAGGUGAUGAUUUUGUUUUGCUUUUAUUCGGUAGAAACAAUGGUUACAUUUGAUUUUAGUGGAAUUUUUGUUUAUUCCUUUUGGGUUAGGAUAAAAUCAAAGUGGUGAGGAGCACCGACAUUCCCUUUUUUACACGUAUUCAUUUUCCUUAAGCUGCCAAAAUAACAAACUAAGGACUUCCAAUUCUGUGAAUUUUCUGAAUAACUUUUUUAUUAUUGUUGGGUGGGAAGAAUGCUCUAAGUGUAUGACUACUCAAUUUAUUUAAAUUAAACCAAUUUUACUAUUCCUCUUCCCUUGUCUCCAUCUAUAUAAAAUUCUGUCUUUUAUUUUAUUUUCCGGGAAAAACUAAAAUGAGAAAAAAACUCUAUUGUGGGUUUUUCCAAUAGACCAAUAAAAUAAAUAGAGUGAAAAUUAUAUUAAAAUAAAAGUGAAAUGAUUUAUGCAUGCAAAUAAAAUAUCUUGAUAUUUGUGAAAAAUGUUCCCCCAAGUCAUGAUCAAAAUGCUGAAAAUUGCAGUCCAAAAAUAUAUUUGUUGAACCCCACUAAAAUCCUUCUGCUGCACUGAUCAUAUGUGGUGGUUGUGGGACACUGGAAUUCAGCCAGUGUUUCAACUCUCACUGAUGCAGCCAUCUUUGAAUAUAUAAAAUUAUUCAUAAAUAGAUUCCAUGAUUUUGAUCUAAUUGAAUAAAUAAAAAUUAAUGUUUUAACUUUUAUCACAUUUAAUAUAAAAACACAAACAUAAAUGAUCAUAUCUAAGGAUAAUACCCCCUUUCCUAGAGAUUUCACUUUGUUUUAUUUAUUUAUUUAAAGAAAUUGGAAUCCAAUGAAGCGUGUUUAUUGCCAAUGAUGUUUUAACACUUCAUUAUCUUUUUACUUUUAAAUUGAUGGUAUUAAUUGAGGUGAUGGGAAAAUCGUUCAUACAUACCAACUAUGGUGGGGGCAGCUUAUGCUUACAAUUUUGUUGCCAGUUUAUUGGCUGACACUGUAAGCUUCCUUUUGUUGGCUGAUUUUUGACACACCCAUUUAUUCUACCAACCUAACUUCCAUCUUCAAUCUUCAACCAUGAUGCUUUUCCCUUUUACUAUUUUUUCACUACUCAAAUAUGAUAUUAUAUAUGCAUAGAUUUUCAGAUAACCAGAAUUGAAAUUUAAACAUUUAUGUUUAAUUUUGAUUUUAUUUUUUAUUUUUAUAAUUUUAAAUUAUUUGUUAAUGUAACAUAUAAUACUAUGUUAAAUUAUAUAUAUUUUUUAUUUUUAUAAUUUUCAAUUUAGCUAAAAUAAUGAGUAAAUAGACAAAAAAAUAUAAAUAUUAAGAUCUAAAUUUACUGUUAUAUAUUAUUAUUUCUUCGCGUUGAGGAGCAAAAGUUACUCAUUUGAGAUAAAUUAAUUACUAAGUAAAAUGACUUAAAUUAAUAUCAUAUUUUGAAUUUAGAAUGAAUUUAAUUUUUCUUCUAAUAAAGUUACUCAUUUCAAGGAUAUUAAAAUUUUAAAGUAAUUGUUUUCUUAAAAAUAUUUUAUAUUAAUUAUUAUCUCAUGAUAAUAGCUAAAUAAAAAAUUACAAAUUAGAAGAGAAGAUGAUAACUUGAGUUCUAGUUUUUAGAUUUUAAUUGUGUUAUUAAUUUAUUAUUUUAAAUUCUAAAUUUAAAUUCAUUAAUUUUUAUAUUUAGUUUUAAAGUUAAAAUAUUCAUAGAAAAUUUAAUUUAAAUAAUAUUUUUUAUUUAUCGUUAAAAGUAUAUAAUUUAAAGUUCUAAUUUCAAAAAUAAAACAUAAUAUAAUAUUUAUCAUAGAAAUAAAUAUUAUUUAAUUAAAAUAAAAUUUUUAAAGGAAAAUAAUAUUUAUCUUAAUGUUAAAAUUAUUUUAAUAUUUUUCAUAAAUAUUAUCAUAAAAAUAAAUUGAUCGAUGUUAAUGUGUAGUAUAAAGUUAAAAAGUUCAUGGAAAUUUAAUUUAAAAAUGAACUCAAAAUAGAUGAAAAAUUAAUAAUUAUUAACUUUAUUAACAUAUAAUUAUUAAUUUGUUAAUUUUUGUCUUUUAAGUAUAGUAAACAUAAAGGUGAUGAAAACACAAAUUUAAAAAUUAAAGGAGUAUAAUUAAAGGGUUAAAAUUUAAACUUAAAAUUUAAAGAUGAUAAUCAUAACUUACAUAAACAUUUAAAGUUUAUGAUUAUCAUAACUUACAUAAUCAUUUAAAGAAUAAAAAAAAACUUUGGACCAUAAUUUACAGAACUUACAUAAAUAUAUAUCACAUCAUAACUUGCAUAACUUAUAUAAAUAUAUAUCAUAUCAUAACUUACAUAAAACUUUGAAUUAAAAUAUAUAAAAAUCACAGAAAUUUGAGUAUGUAUUACAUAAAACUUAUAAAUAAACAACUUACCUGAAUUAGUUUACACCCAUUAAAUACUUGAUACUUGAUAUGUAUUAUCUAUUUUAGUAUAAUGACAUGAUUUAAAUCAAUUUAGAACACUUAAGUAACCGUAAUUUAUUGUCAACUUUAGACUUCAAGAGCUACGAAAUGGAUAAGAGUUGGAUGAAUUUGUCAAGGGUAAGCAAUGACUAUCGAAAUGGAGUACAAACUUUUCUAAAUUUUACAUUUCAAAAUGCAAACUAAGAGAAUAUGAUUCUUUGCCCGUGUAAGAAGUAUGGCAACAUCAAUUGGCAUAUUCGUGAAGUUGUCUACAAACAUCUAAUUGUUAAUGGCUUUAUUCGGAAGUAUAAAAAAUAGAUUUUUCAUGGAGAGUGUACACCUCGUAGAACUUCUUCAACGAUUAAUUCGGCUUAUCCUCAUAAUGCCUACCAUUAGUCUGUUAGAGAAGAUGACAUGGAAGGUAUGUUGCGGGAUACAUUUAAUAUGCGCAGUCAUGGUUUGCAAUCGUUUCCACUUGAAAUUAUUGCAUCCGAUGAUUGUGAUAUUGGUGGAAAUGUUUUUACCGAAUGGGGAAGAAGUGUACUUAAUGAAGAGCCAAAUGGAGAAGUGGCGAAGAUUUACAAGUUACUUAAUGAAAUUAAUGAAGAACUUUAUGAGGGAUCAAAAAAUUUAAAAUUGUCCUUCUGCAUUUAUCUUUUUCACUUAAAAUGUCUGGGAGGGUGGACCAGAAACUCUGACAUUACUGUUAGAGUUUUUGAGAGAUAUGUUUUUGUUUGCAAAAAUUUCUCAUUCAUGCAAAUAUAUGAAGAAACUGAUAAAAGAUUUAGGCCUUGGGUACGACAAAAUUCAUAGUUGCCCAAAUAAUUGCAUGUUGUAUUGAAGUGGUCGGAAAAAGUAACAGUCUUGUCAUGUUUGCGGUAAAUCUCAUUGGAUGAAUAGUAAUACAAAAGAUGUGAGUGAGGAUGAAGGUGAGACACAGUUAAGAAAGAAGCCAAUAAAGAUUUUGCGAUGUUUUCCACUAAUACCAAUGCUUCAAAGGUUUUUCAUGUCGUUAAAGACAGUCGAGUCUAUGAGGUGGCAUCAUGAUCAACGAACCAAUGAUGGAUUAUUAAGGCAUCCUGCAGAUUCUUUAGCUUGAAAAUCAUUUGAUAGUAAAUUUUCAAGCUUUGCAAGCGAUCCUCGGAAUGUGAGGAUUGAACUAGCAUCUAAUGGAUUUAAUCAUUUUAAAAUCAUGAGUACUCUGUAUAGUACUUGGCCUGUAGUGCUUGUUCCUUACAAUAUGCCUCUGUGGAUUUGCAUGAAGCAAUCUUUUUUUAUCUUAUUUAUGAUUAUCCCUGGAGAGAAAGGUCCCGGGAAUGAUAUCGACAUUUAUAUGCAGCCACUUAUUGAAGAGUUGAAAUAGUUAUUGGCGGGUGUUGAAACAUAUGAUGUCUUGAGAAAACUUUUGUUUACGAGCAACUUUGUUGUGGACUAGUAAUGAUUUUCGGCUUAUCCUAAUUUAUCUUGUUGGAGUACUAAAGGACGUUAUGCUUGUCAUUGUGCGGCGCAAACAUGUUCGAAGUGGUUACAUAAUAGGAAGUUUUCUUAUAUGGGGCAUUGUCGGUGGUUAGUGGUUAUAUAAUGGGAAGUUCUUUUAUAUGGGGCAUCGUCGGUGGUUAGAUGAAAAUCAUAGAUUUAGAUUUCAGAGGACUCUAUUUGAUGGUGCUGAAGAGUUGAGAGAAGCUUUUGAGUAGAUCAUUGGUUCUGAAAUCUUAUUCAUAUUAAAAGAUAUCAAUUUUAGUUAUGGGAAGAUGAAUCAACCACCUAACACGCAAACAAAGAGAAGAUUGAGGGAGGUGUACGUUGGCGAUGUUGACUGGUAGAUUGAUGAUGAAUUUGAUGAAAAGGAUGAUUCUAAUGAGGCGGACUUGUGGAAAAAAAAGAAAUAUUUUUUUUAAGUUGCAUUAUUGGGAGUAUCACAUUUUACGACAUAAUCUUGAUGUCAUGCAUAUGGAAAAAAAUGUUUGCGAGAACAUCAUCGGGACAAUUUUGAAUGUUGAUAAAAAAUCGAAAGAUAAUCUUCAAAGUCAACUUGAUCUAGUUGACUUGGGAAUUCGAUGUGAUCUUCACCUCCAAUUACUUCUGAAUAGAAAAUCUCGAUUGUUGCCUUCUAUUUUUCAAUGUUGAAGAAAGAAAAAAAGUAUUCUACACGGUGUUGAAGGAUAUAAAAGUUCCAGAUGCGUAUGCAUCAAAUAUAUCUCGAUGUACGAGUCUUAAAAAUCGAAGACUAUAUUCCUUAAAAUCAUAUGAUUAUCACAUCUUGAUGCAAGAGUUACUGCAAGUUGCUUUACGGUGUUGUAUGUCAAAAAAGGCGACGUCUUGUAUAAUUGAACUAUCCAAUAUAAUGAAAGCUAUUUAUGGUAAAGUUUUGAUUAUUGAAGAACUUGGGAAAGUAUAAGAUCGAGCCGUCUUGACUUUAUGCAAUUUGGAGAAGAUCUUUCUACCUUCGUUCUUUAUUAUUAUAGUACACUUGCUAAUCCAUCUCCCUCAUGAAGCAAAACUUGGUGGAUUGAUUUUCUAUCGGUGAAUGUAUCCUAUAGAUGUGCUAAUUUAUUUGAAAAGUUUUUAUUCAUUCAUGAAUAUACCUUUAGUUACAAUUUUUGAUAAUGUUGUAUAUCAUGUUUAGGUUUCUAUGUAAAUUGAAGUCUUAUUGUCAUAAUAAGCGUUAUCCAGAAGGAUCAAUUGCUGAAAGUUACUUGGCAAAAGAGUAUGACUUUUUGAUCUAGAUAUUUAGAAGAUGUUAAAACAAGAAUGAAUAGACCAAGUAGAAAUGCUGGACUCACUAAUCAUCACUUACCUGAAAUUUAUUUAUUUCGAAGUUAUGGAGAACCAAUCGGUAAAUUGCACAUUUAGAUGAUAGAUCUUGGUACAAGCACAUUAAUAUGUUCUUUUUCACCAUGAUUCAAUUGAAACAUUACGCAAGUAAGUUUUAAAAUUUGAUAAAUAUUUAUCUUUUUAAUUUAUUUAUCUUCUAACCAAGUAAUCCACUUUUUAACGUAGUAAGUGCAAACAAGUCUUGAGAUCUCGUUCACGCUCUCGAAGAUUACAACAUUGAGAGAUUUAUAAGUUAUUUAUAGAAUCUUUUCAUGAAUGGUUAGGGCAAAUCGUAUGCAACUGAAGCUUUCAUUGACAAAUAAUAAUGUUUUCGUAUAACAUUUAUAAUUAAUCAAUUUACUUUCGAUUUAAUAGGUUUGGAGUAGAAAGGACGUCAAUGACGAAGUUAAAUGGCUUUUCCAAGGUCCGAAUAGAGUAGUAAAAAGAUAUACUGCCUUCUUCAUUAAUGGAUUCAAGUUUCAUACAAAAUCUCGUAAAAGAUUGAGGAGGAUUCAAAAUUGUGGAAUAGUUAAUUCUUCAAUUACAAGUUAUGCUAGUGCUAGGGACAGUAAUCCUGUUGAGGGAAAUGUGGAGUAUUACGAGCCUCUUACUGACAUUAUUGAGUUGGGUUACUAUGGCAAACAGAAAGUUGUCUUAUUUCGAUAUGAUUGGGCUGAUGUUAAUACUGCUCGUAGAAUUAAAAAAAAAGAUCAAUUUGGUUUUACAAUGGUGAAUUUCUCUUGAUUAAUUCACACUGGACAACAAUUGAUAGAUGAGUUGUAUGUAUUUUCAUUUCAAGUCAAAUAAGUUUUUUACUUGAAAGAUCCAAUUGAUGAGGGUUGGUACGUUAUACUCCGUAACACCCCUAAAGACUUGUUUAACAUGGGCAAUGGAAGUAGAGAUGACAUCGACGAAAUAUCAGAAAUUGUCUUUUCCAGAAAAAACUUAAAUGAAAUUAUCCCUAGUACUAGUACACAAUUUCAAUGGGUUCACUAGGAUGUGGAUGAAGAUAUUUAUGAAUUAUGAUGUAAUAAUAUUUUACGAUUUUUUAAUUAUAUGUAAUAUUAUAAUUUAAAUCUUAAUCUUGUUAAAUAUUUCAACUAUUUUAUAUAUACUAUUAUUUUUGUAAUUAGUUACUAAAAUUAUUGUUGUACUAUUAUAUGCAGCCCAUUCUUCUUGGUCUAUUCAAUCUUAUUUUAACAUAUUCUAAAUAUCUAAAAUAGAAAUUCAUAUACUCCUCUGCCAAGUAACAUUUAGCAAUUGAUCUUUCUAGAUAGCGUUUAUUAUGACAAGAAGACUUCAAUUUGCAUAGGAACUUAAACACGAUAUACAACAUUAUCAAAAGUUGUAACUAAAGGUAUAAAGUUGAAUGAAUGAAUACUUUACAAAUAAAUUAGCACCUUUCUAUAGGAUACAUCCAUCGAUAGAAAAUCAGUCCACCAAGUAUUGCUUCAUUAGGGAGAUGGAUUAGCUAGUGUUCCAUAAUAGUGAAGAAGGAAGGUGGAAAGAUAUUCUCCAAAUUGCAUAAAGUCAAAGCGGCUCGGUCUUAUACUUUUUCAAGUUCUUCAACAUUUAAAAUUUUUCCACAAAUAGCUUUCAUUAUAUUGGAUAGUUCAAUUAUACAAGACGUCACCUUUUUUGACAUAUAACAUCGUAAAGCAACUGACAGUAAAUCUUGCAUCAAGAUGUGAUAAUCAUGUGAUUUUAAAGAAUAGUCUUCGAUUUUUAAAACUCACACAUUGAGAUAUAUUUGAUGCAUACGCAUCUGGGACCUUUAUAUCCUUUAACACCGUGUAGAAUACUUCUUUUUCUUUCUUCGACAUUGCAAAAAUAUGUGACAACUGAUAUUUCUCAUUCGAAAGUACUUGGGGAUGAAGAUCAUGCCGAAUUCCCAUGUUAACUAAAUAAGUCGCCUCUGAAAAUUGUUUUUUGAUUUUCCAUCGACAUUCAAAAUUGUCCCAAUGAUGUUCUCGCAAACAUUCUUCUCAAUAUGCAUGACAUCAAGAUUGUGUCGUAAAAUGUGAUGCUUCCAAUAAGGUAACUCAAAAAAAUACUUCUUUUCUUCUAGAAGUUUACUUCAUUAGGAUCAUCCUCUUCAUUAGAUUCAUCCUUCGAUCUUCUCUUUGUUUGCGUGUUGGGUGGUUGAUUCAUCUUUCUAUAACUGAAAUUGAUACCUUUCAAUAUGAACAAGAUUUCAAAUCCAAUGGCCUGCUUAAGAGCUUCUCAUAACUCUUCAGUACCGUCAAAUAGAGUCCUCUGAAAUCUAAAUCUAUGAUUUUUAUUUAAUCACCGACGAUGCCCCAUAUAAGAGAACUUCUUUCCACUAUAUAACCAUUUCGAACAUGUUUGCGCAACAUAAUAAGGACAAGCAUAACGUCCUUUGGUACUCCAACCAGAUAAAUUGACAUAAGCCGGGAAAUCAUUAAUGAUCCACAAAAAAGCUGCACAUAAAUAAAGUUAUUCUUUCUCAAUGCAUCAUAUGUCUCAACACCCGCCCAUAAUUGUUUUAACUCUUCAAUAAGUGACUGUCAAUAAAUGUCAAUAUCAUUUUCGGGAUCUUUCUUUCUAGAGAUAAUCAUAAAUAAGAUAAAAGAAGAUUGCUUCAUACAAAUCUAUGGAGGUAAAUUGUAAGAAACAAGCACUAUAGGUUAAGUACUGUACGAAGUGCUCAUGAUUUUAUAAGGAUUAAAUCCAUCAGAUGCUAGCCCAAGCCUCACACUUCGAGGAUCGCUUGCAAAGCUUGGAAAUUUACUGUCAAAUGAUUUUCAAGUUAAAGAAUCCGCAGGAUGCCUUAAUAAUUCAUCAUCGGUUCGUUGAUCAUGAUGUCACGUCAUAGAUUUGGCUGUCUUUGACGACAUGAAAAGCCUUUGAAGCAUUGGUAUUAGCGGAAAAUAUCAUAAAAUCUUAAUUGGCUUCUUUUUUGACUGUGCUGCACAUUCAUCCUCAUUCACAUCUUCUGUAUUUCUAUUCAUCCAACGAGAUUUACCGCAAACAUGAUAAGACUGUUGGUUUUUCCGAUCACCUCAAUACAACAUGCAGUCAUUUGGGCAACUAUAAAUUUUGUUGCACCCAGGCCUAAAUAUUUUAACAGUUUCUUCAUAUCUUUGCAUGAAUAAGGGAUUUUUACAAACGAAAACAUAUCUCUUAAAAACUCUAACAGUAUUGUCAAAGAAUUUUCGGUCUACCCUCCCAAACAUUUUAAGUGAAAAAGACGAAUAUAGGAUAUUUUUGAAAAUUUUGAUCCAUCAUAAAGUUCUUCAUUCAUUUCAUUAAGUAACGUGUAGGACUUUGCCGCUUCUCCAUUUGGCUCUUCAUCAAGUACACUUCUUUCUGUUUCGGUAAAAGUAUUUCCACCAAGAUUACAAUCAUCAAAUGCAAUAAAGUCAGGUGGAAAUAUUGCAAACCAUGACCGCGCAUGUUAAAUGCAUCCAAUCUUUCUAUCAUCCAAUCUUUUGGAAUUGAUAGAUCCUUUAAAUUUAAUAAUUUAGGUUGUAUUUCUGUAGUAAAUUUAUUAAGUUCGAAGAGCUCAAUAAUUUUGUUAUUUAUCUCUUUAAUUUCAACCUCUGUAGUAUUUGUAUAUUCAUUAAUAGAAGUCCAACUUAUUGCUAGAUCUUCUGCUAGAUCAUGAAUAUCAGAAUUUUUUGUCUGAAUUUUAAAGCAUAAACACUCUUCUAUUAGACAAUUUGUAAUGGAUAUAAAGUAAUUUGGUUUAACCUUAAAUCUUAUUACACUAGUAUGCAAAUUAGACUGAAUUCCUUCAAUAAGUGCUUUUAUUUGAUUUUCAAAUCUUAUCUAAAAGAACAGCUAUUAUAGGAAUAUCAUGAUCUUUCCUAAAUAGUGCUUUAAUAGUAAUCAUUAUUAUCCCUAGAUGGAUAUAUCGUACUUGAAUAUAUUUCUUUCUAUUCCUCUUAAUUUUAUCUUUAGUAAAUAAUGAGAUUUCUGCUAAUCCUCUUCUUGUAUCCUUAGCUACAGUAUUUCCACUUAUCUUCUCUAUAUGCCUCUGAGUCCAUAUUUUAAACUUAAAUAUUUUAUAUAUUUCUUCUUUAGAAAUAUGAUUUUUAUUAAUUUUUUCUAUUAUUUUAUUAGAGAGAUUUUUUUCUUCUCUAAUUAAAUUUCCUAAUUUUAUAUCUUGUUGUUCAGAGUUCGGAAUUUCUUCUAAACCAUAUAGAAAAAUGGGAAAUUAUUAAAAAUCCUAUAAAAGCAAUAGGAAUAGAUGAUAAUAAAACCAUAAUUCAAUAUAAAGCUAAAAAUAUUCCAAUCUACAUAAAUAAUGUAAGGUUUGUAAUUCCUAAAAUUUUAUUUUUCCUGAAAUGUAUGGAGAUAUAUUAUUAGGAGAUAAUUUUAUAUGUCAGUAUUUACCAUUUUCUAUUAAUAAAAAGUCAAUUAGUUUAUUUGUAGAAAUUUCUUAUAUAGAAAUACCAUUAGUUAAUAAUAAUAAAUUUGUGUGUAAUAAAACUUACACCAUUAAAAGAAUAAGUUAUGUACUUUUAUGUACUAAUAAAUUAUUGUUGAUUAUCUUAGCAGGCCUUAUGGAUAGAGGUAAAAAACCUUUAGAAACAGUUGGUGAAUGGAUUGUUAUUUAUAAAAAAACCCAACAAAGGGAAAGUAACAAAUUUUAAACAAGGAUUUGUACCUGUUCAAGUACUAUUUUAUCCUAACUAGUGAUACUAUGUGCUAUAUUCAAUGGUAAAAUCAACCAAUUGGAACUUCUUUAUCAUUGACUCCAAAUACGGUUAGUCAAUCACAAUGGUCCUAAAAUCUAAAUUCAGUGUUUCAAGCCAGUUAUGCUGAAAUGAUUAAGGGAACAGAAAAUUUAUUGAAACAAUAAUAAAUUCAAGAUUUUAAUUAUCUUUCUAAAAUAAAAGAUUUUUAUAAUCUUGGCUUAUCACCAGAAUUUUAUAAUCUUAUUAAUGAAGUAUGGAAAACCCAUAUUUCUGUACAAAAAUCACCAAUUUCAGGGGGUAGGUGCGAGGGUUUAUUGGAAGGCUUGUAUAUUAAAGUAGAGAAAUUUACAAAGGAAAAAACUAUUAGCAAAAGAGAAGAAAGCUAAGUAUUUCUCGAUGCUAUACAAUUGGUUUCCUUCUUCUAUUUAUAACUGAAUUUCAAAACUCUAUACAAUUGUUCUUUGAAUCUCACGCAGUGUUUCUGAUACAGAUCCUAUCUCUUUGUGGAUGUGGUUGCUUCCACGUUGCAUUUGUCGUAUUACUUCUUUGAUUGCAUGAACCUGAUUGCUUCCACUUUGCAUCGUUGAAUUAAUGGUUGUUUCCAUCAUCAUUGCUUACAUUAUUAGUUUGAUGAUAGUUUUGUUUGUAUCUGGAUGCCUUGUUUUUCAAGUUGCUUCUUCUUUCUUGGUGUUAGCCUUUUUUGGCUUUAUCCUUGUUGGAUGUUAACAAGAUUCAUUUCUUCGAUUUCAUCCAAAUUUAAUGAAUCAAAUGAAAGUCUUGGUGAAUUCUAAUUUUCCCAUGUGCUUUUGAUUUUUUCUAGAAUAUGAGAUGAAAAAUUUUCAAUUUCUUUGUCGGCUAUCUUUUUUAGUAGUCGCAUGGAUUCUUUAUCUCUUGCUUCAAUAAUACCAGAAUGGUAUGCUAAUAUUCUUCUUCCAUCUGUCCAGAGUUGAUAAUUUUUUUCUUGAAGAUAUUUGGCUUUAGCUAUUAAAUCAAUCCCAGCUUGGGUUUGAUAAUAGCUUAAAUCAUUGUGACACCUGUCAAUUGUUUUUGCCAAGUGUUCUUUGUUUUCUUUGAUAGUAGAUAAUUGCGGGCUUGCAAUCAUCUUUUGAGUAAUCCAUAGUUGAUAUGGUUGAUAAAUUUUUUUUUUCAACAAUACCAAUAAGGCUGCUUAUUUGAAUAUAAAAAUAGUAGAAAAAAUCAUCAUUGUGUAUGAUGCUUGAUAAUGCUGAUUUAACAGCUACAGGAAAAUCUUUUAAAAGAUGAAAAGAAAAAUUUUGUACUAUUAAUUUUUUUAUAAAACCCCAUUCAAUACUGGUUAUAUCGAACGGUUCAUGAUCUAAUCUAAAUUUGAUAAUAGGAAAUUCUUCUCCUAUAUCAUUUGUAAAAAUAUAAGCUUGUAAGAAAUAUUCUGAAAAUGUUUUUUGAAAUAGAGUUAGCUGGUUGUUAAUUGCUCCAUCUAUUUUAUUAAAUAUCUCUACUGGUAAAAUAUUUCUAGCUUUAUUAUGUAAACAUAACCUAAACAUUUUAUUCAUAAUGAGAUUAUUUUUCCCUUUAUUAAUAAAAUAUUGAAAUAUAUGAAGAAGAUUGUUUAUCUCCUUAAUAUACAUAAUAAAUAUUCGGAAUUCAUCCCAAUCCCUAUAUAAAAUAGAUUUUAAAAAAAAUCCAUCAGCUUCAUUUUCUUUGGAUUUUUUUCAACCAAAAAUAAUGAAAACUUGGUAAGAGCUCUUCUGAAACUUGCUCUUUGUUCAAAAACAUGGGUGUUCCAUAUUUCAUUAAUAAGAUUAUAAAAUUCUAGUGAUAAACUAGGAUUAUAAAAAUCUUUUAUUUUAGAAAGAUCUUUAAUAUCUUGAAUUUGUUGUUGUUUCAACAAAUUUUUUGUUCCCUUAAUCAUUUCAGCAUAACUGGCUUGAAACGCUGAAUUUGGAUUUUGGGACCAUUGUGAUUGACUAACCGUUUUUGGUGUCAAUGAUAAAGAAGUUCCAAUUGGUUGGUUUACCAUUGGAUAUGACACAUAAUAUCUUUGGUUAGGAUAAAAUGGUACUUUUGCAGGUACAAAUUCUUGUUUGAAAUUUGUUGCUUUCCCUUUGUUAGGUUUUUUAUAAACAGUAGUCCAUUCACCAAUUGUUUCUAGAGGUUUUUUUUACCUCUAUCCUUGUGGCUUGCUAAGAUAAUCAACAAUAAUUUAUUAGUACAUAAAAGUAUAUAAUUUAUUCUUUUAAUGGUGUAAAAGUUUUAUUACACACAAAUUUAUUAUUAUUAACUAAUGGUAUUUCUAUAUAAGAAUUUUCUACAGAUAAACUAAUUGACUUUUUAUUAAUAGAAAAUGGUAAAUACUGACAUAUAAAAUUAUUUUCUAACAAUAUAUCUCCAUGCAUUUCAAAAAAACAUAAAAUUUUAGGAAUUACAAAUCUUACAUUAUUUAUGUAGAUUGGAAUAUUUUUAGCAUUAUAUUGAAUUAUGGUUUCAUUACCAUCAUUGAGUGCUAGCAGAUGAAUCACUAUACCCAAGGUUACUGAACUCGAUCUCUUACCAGAUGAAGAGCCUAUAGAAGUAUGCUUCUUGCCUUUCCUUUUGAUGGAGCUCUAGGUUCACUUUGAUCUCUCCUAGGUUCAGGAAACAUAUUUCCAUCAAACUCUAAUCUAUCACAAAAAUGUCCACUAGUGGUAUCAACCCCACAUUCUCCUCCAUACUGACUAGAGGACCUAAUUUCACCUCUAUCACCACAAUAUCCAUCAUCCUCAUCAAUUGGACUUAAACCACCACCAUCGAGUCCAUCGUCACUCUGACUCGGCAUUGAACUAGAACUUGAAUGGGACAAAUUUUGUUGUUGAGAUUGAUCAACAUCUAUUUCAUCAUCAGAGGUAUCCACAGGCAACACACCAGUAUUUUCACCAUCUAACAAUGGAAUCUCUUUCUCAUGAAGCCAUUCUAGUAGUGGAUCAACAUCUUCAAAGAUAUGAUCAAGGUUGAUAGAAUUAAAACUAGCGUUUAUAUCAAUGUUCGUUUUUUUAUGCCUUAUCUGAAGCCUCAUAUUAUAAUAGGUAAACACUAGUUUCUCAAGCUUUUUAUACUUUAACCUAUUUCUUGCCUUGGUGUGAAUAUAACUAAAUGUGCUCCAAUUUCGUUCGCUAUUUGAUGCUGAAGUUGUUUGGCUAAGCAUUUUAAUUGCCAAUUUUUGUAAUUCGGGAACACAUGUGCCGUAUAUUAUCCACCACUCAGUUGCAUAAUAUUAUUUAAAUUUCAAAAUAACUUUAAAAUGUACAAUAUAAUUAAAUAAUAUAAAUUAAAUUAAAUAAUUUAAUUAACUGUUUACCUGGAUUCAUUUGCUUCCAAGCUCUUUGUGCUUGUAGAGUACCGAAUGUCUCAUGUUUAUCUUUAAAUAGUAACAACUGCAAAAAUAAAAGAUAGAGUAAAAAAAAAAUUCUAUUUCAAAUUAUGUAACUAAGUUACUAAUAAUAAUACUUGAAUCUAACCUGAUUAACCAUUCUAACUUGAGUAUCAAGAGAAUGUUCUAAUCUUUCAAUUCCUGAUCGUGUACCUUCUAAAUUUCUAUUAGUACAUUCUCAGAAUGCUCCACCCCAAAUUGAAAUUGAGGAUUGAGAAAAUAACCUAAGUAUAAUUUAUAAGAAUAUCAUCAAAUAAUAAUCUAAAGCUUAAAAUAAUAAAAUAUAAAAAUAGUUUUUAAUUAUAUGAAACAUUUUAUCUUACCAGCUGAAUAAAGUCGGAAUGCACAAAAUUUCAUCUAUUGUCAAUAAUCUUUUCGUACUCGUUGAAAUAUCAACAAUCUUGUUGAAUUGCUCAUUUAGCUCUAUCAACAACCUCAUAAAUGAAGCUCAUUGUUGGUUUUUCAUCGCUAUCCACAAGUCUCAAUGCUUUUAUUAGGGGCUCGUAAACUUUUAUGAGGUCAUUGGCUUUUUUUCAAAUUUUUUUUCCCAAAACAAUAUUUUUAGUUUCAUAAGCAGGCCCUGACUUUUGCUGUACCCAUUUUGAUUUUUUAAAUUCCUAUAUAUUCAUAAGAAAAAUUUUAAAAUAAUAUAAUUUAAAUUAUUUGGAACUAAUAGUCAUUAAAAGUUGCUAUAUUUAAGUAAUUAUAUUAACUAAUUAUAAAAUACUGACCUUUGAAUUAAACAUUUCUUUCAGACCUUGCUUUUGUCUUGUUAUCUCUUCAAGUUGAAUGAAAUGAGUUACAAAUCAAGUAAGAGCGGGUCGAGGUAUUUGUUUCUCUUGUGUAUACUUGUUCAUCAAAUCAAUAGUCCAAGUAUGAUUGUAUAUAAAGCAAGUCACUUUUUUUGCCUCAUCUAACACUUUUGCUACACUGGGCUUUUUCCUAAUAUCUUCAAGGUAUAAAUCUAUGAGCUGCACAUGAGGUCCAAUAUAGAUGUUUUCUUUUCAACAUUAAUUUUUUUCCAGCAGCUUUCAUUGCUGUCUCAUUAUCAGUCACUAUUUGGACAAUGUAAUUUUCUCCAAUUUCUUCUACAACUGAAUCUAACAAACAGUAGUAGAAUUCAACAUUUCUAUUACGGACACUUGAGACAUCUACCAAUUUCCAAAAAAUGGUUCCUUUACAGCAAUAAACAAGGAAAUUAAUGAUUUGCAUUUGAAUCAAACUGUUGGUCCAACCAUUAUACAUUAAAGUUGCAUCCAAUUCUUUCUAAUGAGUCUUUAGUCCAUUUACCCAAUCACGAACUCGUUGAUACUUUGACUCCAAAUACACAUCUGAAACCUCAUAUGGUGUUGGGAGCUUUACACAUUGUCUAACUUCGGUUGACACUUGAAUCAAGUUAUACAACCAUGGAGAGCUUGCUAAUUGAAAAGGAAGUCUUCCAUUUAUUAAAAAUUUAGAUCCCGAUUCACCUAUCUUCCUUCGAAAACUCUUUAAAAAAGUCAUUCACCUUUGGUUGCUUUGAACUCUUGCUUCUAACCAUUUCAGGUAUAGCUCUCUUAAGGUAAACUCAACUCAUUUGGGAUGAAUUUACUUGUUCUUUCUCUAUGUAUUCUCUAGUUGAUCCAUGAGAAGAUCGCCCUUCUUCGUAAAUGUUAUUCCAACCACCAGUAUUUCGUCUGAAUUCUUCCCUUCUAUGCCACUCGUGUUGUGAUUGGAUACUUUUUCGAGUUGCUUGCCUUAUAGCAGAAACCUUAUCAAUGAAUUCCUUGUGUUCAUCCCCCUCUUCUCUUAAUUGAGAUAAGAAUUUAUCUUUUCUCCUCUUUUUGUUUAUUUUCUUUGUGUUGCUUUCUUUCAAUAUAUUCAUCAUACUUUCUCUAAUGACACCUGUUAAUAAAAUAAAAAUAAUUCACACUUUAUAUUAUUAUAAAUUAUAUAUAAUCUUUAUUGAUAAAUUUACAAUAACAUUUAAAAACAAUAAUAAAGUAUCACAUUCCAGAAACAUUAGGGCAUGGUGUAACAUUGUCGGUUUUAUGAGCAAUGUGCUCUUUAAAUCGUGUUAUUCCUCCUUUCACAACUUUACCACAAAGUUUACAUAUGACAUUUCCUUUCAUAUUUGCCACUGGAGUUCUAAAGUGCCAACCUAUAUCAUUACUUGGUGCACCCUCCAAUCUUUUAUUCGAGAACUCUUCACGUGGUGGCAUGUUUUAUUUUUAUUUAUAUAUAAGAAACAUAAAAUUAUAUUUAGAAAUAUAAUCAACUCAUUACUUAUAUUAUCAACAAUAUAAUACAAAAAAAGUAAACAUCAUUAACAUGGAAAAAUUAAAUUUAUUGCAUAAUCUGUAAUUUAUUAUUUUUUAAAAAACAACAAUAUCAUAACCCAUUAUUACUUGGUUUCAAAGUUUUUGUUAUAAAUAGUUUGUUUUGUUCCUUCUUAAUAAAAUUUAAAUUCAAAUUGGAUCAAAUUUAAAAAUUCAAGUUUUUCAUAUUAUGCAAACUGAAAUCAAUAGAGAUUUAUCUAAUGUUGAAUUAAAGUCAUCUAUCGGAUUUGAUGAAGAAAAACACGAAUUAAUUUGUCUUGAUUUUUUACCUUUAAUAAUACAACUCAUAAGUGAUGGAGGCUAUAAUUUUUUCAUUAAAAGCAUAAUAAAAUAAAUUAUGAAAUUGAAAUAUAUUAAAAUUGAGUUAAAUAUUAAUAUUAAAAAAAAUUAAAUCUUAUUAUUUUAAAAUAAAAUUAUUUAAAAAUAAAAAAUAUCAUUAUGUAUUCAAUAAAUUUUAAUUAGAAAAUUUUAGACCAUGCAUUAAAUAAUGCUUUUUUUGAAGAUUUAAUGCUUUAAACUAUCCACUAUCCAGCACAUCAAUGCCUGUGCCAGGAGCAGGAGCUAAUAAAUGAUAUUUAAUGCUUUACAAUAAUAAAAAAUCUACCUUGACAUAAUAAAAUCUGACCUUUAGAAAAACCAAAUGUCAAAAUUGAAAAGUAAACAGAAAGGAGAAAUUAAAAAUGAAAAAAGAGAAAAAAAAACUAUUCAAAAUCUUUGGCAUCCUUCAUCAUUUUUCUCUACAUCCAUCUUCAAACCCAUUCGAGUCAUCUAAUCCCUUCUCCCUUCAUCCCUAACCUAAAGUCUAAAGAACAUAUUUGCAUUGCAAAUUCAAGACUUGUUUGUAACUUACAACAAUAUUUGCAUUUUACGGCAAAAACAAGCAAGAAUCAAGAAAAAAAAUUUUAGGUACUUACUUGAAAAUUAUGAAUCUUCGAAUGUGCAAGACUGCAAGUGAUCAAGGUUUGCUUCUCGGGUUCAAUGGUAGUUGUGUUGUGAUUUUGUUUGCCGUUUGGUUUGGAGUUCAGAGUCUAAAUCGAAAUAUGAGAAUUUUAUAUUUUCUAUUGCUUUGGAUUGCUUUUUUCUGUUUAUUUAGACUUCUUUUUACUUUUUUUGAUUGAAAACUCUCUAAUUUUGCAGGUAAGGGAAUAUAUUCCCUUUUGUCUUAUUGUAUUUCUGUUGAUUUUUGUUUAGAGGAGAUGGAUUUUUUAAAAAUUUUACAGUAACGAAAAAUAACGGGAAUAACGGUCCGUUAUUGCCGCAAUUGUCCGUUACCCGUUAAAUUGCGACCGCGAUCCACCGCUAACGAUUUGACUCCUCUUCACAUCGCUAUUUUCAGCAGUAGCAAUUUCGGACGGUGCCGCUACCGCUAUAUAGAGGCUGCUAUUUCGGUAUCGGAUUGCUAUUUAAAUCCCUGGCCUCAAGUAUGGGCUCGAGCAACACGAACCAAAUCAUAGAAUGAAGACUUUUAUUUACUUUCAGUAGGAAAGUAUAUAUCUUUCUAUAACUGAACACUGUACGUUUUUCCUAAAAAUAGUUGUUAUUCUUAGAAAUAAAUUUCCACUACUUUUUAUUAGAAUAACGGCUUAUGAGAAGGUGUCUAAAUUGUUUAACUGAUAGUUUCUUAUUUAUACAACAGUUCUAUUCGGAUAGGGCUUGAUUAAAUACUAAUAUUGUAAAAGAUGAUACAACUUCUACUCUAAGUAGAAAAGGUAAGGGUGGCAGCGCCUUUUUGUAAUACCCUAGGGUUGUGAAACCCACGUCCUACUCGAUCACUAGAUUAAAAUGUGUGAUGUCACAUUACGUUGUUGAAGAAACUUAAACUAAUUCAAUAUCAUUUUCCUGGGUGACAUGGCAUUCAAUCGAAUAAAUCGUAUAUAAUUUCAAUCCAAUGCAAAAACACAUACAAUGGAUGUUAAUUGAUCUUAAUUAAAGUAAUUUAGGAAUUGUACGAGGUCAAAUACAAACUUGGGAUUCGAAUUUGAACUCGAUGUAUCUCGAGAUAGACCUUCCCUGUGUCACUAUUUUUACUUCGAUGUGGUAUUGUCUUGAGACUUAAGCGAUGUUGUCUCAAGACUUAUUCAUUUAGUCUCAAGACUUGAAGUUGUGAGAUGCACUAAAUGGGUGAAUUUGUUCUUGAGGUGUCAAGACAUAUUCCUCCUAUCUUAAGACACUAAUGCAAUAUUUCCCUUAAAUGAACAUUUUUAAGCAUUCAAAUACCAACCUAUUCAAGCCUUACUUACACCAUUAUUAUACCAAUCUCAAUUGCUUAAACUUAAUAUAGUAAAACAUGAUCAAAUCUUCCAAUAAUUGAAUAGCAAAUACUCUUCAACCUAACCAAGCUUGGCAAGUAAACAAACCUUUG